GACAGAGGUGCCAAGCGUUAGGCGGAAUCACUGGGCGUAAAGCGUACGUAGGUGGCGGAUUAAGUCGAAUGUUAAAGCCUGGGGCUCAACCCCAGAGAUGCAUUCGAUACUGGUCUGCUAGAGGGUGAUAGAGGAAAGCGGAAUUCCCAGUGUAGCGGUGAAAUGCGUAGAUAUUGGGAGGAACAUCAGUAGCGAAGGCGGCUUUCUGGGUCACACCUGACACUGAGGUACGAAAGCGUGGGGAGCAAACGGG
rnacentral:rRNA from 1 species